GAGACAGCAGAAGAAAGUUACUUAUUUAUAACUCAUCAUGACCAUUUAAUACCGAAAAUCUGAUUAAAAUUUGUUUGGAAAGCCACCAAAUAUUUCAAUGAAAAGAAGAAAAAAGACAGCAAUUCUAUAUCAUGUAUAUCAUGUACUAAGCAGAAGCAUUUGCUGUUUCAAGACCCAGUUGAAUUGGAGUUUAGUGUUUUGAUGCAGUGAGACAGAGGAAUAUUUAAGUGAACAGUUUAGCUUCUUUUUCAUCAUCGUGAUCAUUAAAGUUGAUGUUUACCAUCGGAGAGAGCUUUUUCCUCAGUUGAAAUGAAUUCUAAAUACAGGCAGUUUGGAGACUUUGUAUAUUUCUUACAAUUGGAGUUCUAAAAAGGAUUACAUUUAAAAAAAAAAAUGUGUUGCAACAGUUUCAUGGAUUUAAUUUUGUGUCUCUUUCGUGAAAUAUUUGAAAAAUCUGCAAUAUCUAACCAAGUAGUUUAUUAGAGAUCUACAGAUGAACAUAUGACAUGUAUGACAUUCAGAUGAAUUUGAAAGAAGGAAAUAUAUUUAUUUAUAAGACUUUAAUAUGAGUGUUUAGUUAUUUUUUGGCAAUUACAGGCAUGACAGGGAGUAAUUAUAAGAUAAAGUUAUUUGAUUUAAACAUAAAUCCUACCUACAGAUAUACAUGCGAUAUACAUAUAUGCAUGUAGGCAUACAAUUCACUGACACACCACUAAUUUGAGUUACAUGUACAUGUAAUGAUAAAAGUAAGAAUAUGACAUAUAAAAAAAAAUUGAUUCACUCAGAUUGCCAAUGAAACAACUCUCCAUCAGGGAAAAAAUAGUUGUUUAUAUAUUGGCCACCUGCAGAGACAUGAAGAGAACAAGAAAAUCAUAUUUUAUCAUGAUUUAUAAUUUUUCUAUUUCAUUUCAUAUAAACACUGAAUACAGGCCUACAUUUGUAGGUGUACAAAAAGUUCAAAAGCAUAAAACAGUGUUGUAAUCAUGCAGUUGUUGUUCAUCUGAAAGUCGUAUGAUAUUGAUGUUGGGCUUCAAUAAUGAGCAAAUUAAAACAUCUGUAUAACAGCCACAUAAUGGUUAAUUUUGAACAAAAUAAUUAUGGGUAUUUCCAUUUUGUACAUGCAUGUAUAUAUGUAUUGUACAUGAAGAUGUGUAUCUCAUGUACAUACAUGUACAUGUAGCUUGUUUAUACUUGGAAAUCAGAAAAUGCAAUGUUUUCAUUUCUUGUUCUUGUCUAAACUAAAAUUGGUUAUUUAUAUAAUGACAUAAAUUAAUGACAUGAUAAUUGUAAAUGUUUGGCAUAAAAAAUAUAAAUUUAUUUAAAUGAUGGUAUUACAAUGCAUUAUUUGUAUCCAGGAUUUUCUGUAACUGCAAUAAUAAAUCUCACAUUUAUCAUGUUUAUUG
rnacentral:lncRNA from 1 species